rnacentral:misc_RNA from 1 species
CUUGUUAUCCUUAGACUUCCGUCCUCUCUUCCUCUUUUUGUCAGGUUCAUUCAUCAAAAGUAGGGUCUUUUCUUGAACCCCGGAAGUAGCCGGCUGUGUAAUAGGAGGAGGCGGUGGAGAUUGGGAAUUUGGAUUAUGUAUAAAGAACUUAAGAAAAUGAAGAAUUGCGUGAUUUUCAGGGUCGGAAGUACACGGGGGUUUGGGUUGUGAAGUUGAAGGGUGAAGACCAGGCACGCGAGAACGGUGG